CUCACAACAUUGACAAUCAGAAGGCCUACACCCUCUCCUCACUCCCAUCUUCUCUUGUCUCUCACCACAGCGUUCUGUAGUUCAAGGGCUGCGAUCAACCUUGAUGUGGGUUCAAAGCGGACAGUUCUGGUGGAUCAUUGGCCCACGUGCUCACAACACCCAUCGUCUGGUUGGUGAGUUCUAGGGAGUUACUCAAACACAUGGCCUUUUUUGGCUUUUCCAAAGAAACAUCACAUUCCAGGAACAUGUAUUUAACAGAUUCUGUGACUAAUGACCUCUGUUAUUGUUGCCAGGUGUGGCGCUGUAUACCUCUGCUGCACUAAAAUCCCUGUACUGAGUGUGGAGGGGGGUUUGACCGUGGGGGUGGUUCUGCCAUGUUUUUCAAAUCACCAUUACGCUUUCUGCUGACUCGUGUGUGAGGUUUGCUUGACGAAACAAAUCUAUUUGUCCUCCCAAGCAAUAGCUAAACAUCCUUCUUUGUCCUUUUUGAAAUGUGCCCUGUUUAAAGAGAGGAAGUCAGAGAGGUACAGUAUUCAACCCCUCCAAGGUGAUUUCGCACAUCAGUGAGUUUGGGCUCUACAGUGUCCCACCUUAAAGUCUUCUAGUCCUGCUCUUUGGCAUCAUACUGUGGCAAAGAGUUAAUCUUUAUUUGACCAAUAAACACAUACAUUUACUAAGCAUUAGCCUACAUAAUAACCAUAGUAACAUUAGAAAUCUAUCACAGGGAUGAAGUAAUCAUUAUCAACAUGCACAUGUUAUAUCGUAGAUUCUGUUUUCUUCACAGGAGUAUUUUCUGUCCCGAGGAAAGGAUUGCAUCACAGUGUCUAUGGGACCCAAGAGAUUCUGACAUGUGGCUUUAAGUGAAAACAGCAGCAUGGCCGACAAACCCAAAAUUCAUGUGUUCAUGGGUGCCCCUCCCCUCACACCUGUGUCUGAUUUUGAUGAGGGAAAGUCUGGUCAGUGGAGGACCAUGGAGCUCUGCUGGCAGGGGGGCAGACUGAGGGCCAGGGAAGAUGAGGGUGGGAUCCAUGGAAGUGACGGUCGAGGUGAGGUUGACGCUUCAUCAGAGCCCGGAGAGCUGCCCAGUACCAGCAAGCACGGUACCAGUCUCCAAGGUCCUGAGAUUCAAACCGGAUUUCCCUUACAGAGAGAACCAGGCUGUAAAGAGACAACCCAGGCUGGCCUGGCCCCUUUGGCGAGCUCAACUCCCCAGAAUGAGCAAACAGUUGUUAAUGAUGAGGACAUGUGUUCUGAAUCAGUGAAGGAGUAUCUGGACAGCUGCUUCCCUGACGGGCAGCCUGACCCAGGGCCUGAGUCUGCCCCUGAGAGAGCAGGCAUCCAGUCAGAUCCAGCCCCUGCUCAGUCUGUGUCUGUGGAGACGGAGUACCUCAGUGCAUGGACAGUCAGCCAGGCCCUGCUCCUGAGAGGAAGACUGGGGGGACAACCAAAAACCAGCCCUGUGAAAACCAGACUUCCACAAACGCCACCUAAAUCUACGCCAUCCACUUUCACCAGCUCCCCAGAGUUGUACAGCCCAGCCACCCCCACUCAGUCCCCCAGAGAGCGGGGCCAAGGAGGGACCCAGCAGGGCUCCAUGGAGCUCUUCUAUGAGCCCCUGCUGAGCCAGAGGCAGGAGGAAGGAGGGGUGAUACUGGAGGCCACUGCUGAUGGGGUGCUCUGCUCUCAGGGUAACCCAAAGGGGAACAAAGAAGUGGGUGUAGUCUCCAAAAGCCCUCUCCCAUCACCUAAAUCCCCUGUAAAUACCUCACCGGCACCCCCAUCCCCUAAAAGGAGUAAAGUCUCCCCCACAAUAGGCAGAACUGAUCAGUCAUCAGACCAGACUACAGGGAAGGGUUGUGUUACUUCCCAAGCCCACACCACCCUGGCUAGAUGUGGCACCCAGGGAGUGCGUUACUCCAUCUUAGUGGCCGUGGUGCACCCGUGUCAUCUGAAGGAGAUCAGAGUGAGGUCCGGGGCGUCUGCUGGCUCCUGUAUCCCCCUGGCCUCUGUGGUGGUUACUGACCAAUCAGAAGUGGAGAUGAAGGUGGUCCUGUGGAGGAGGGCAGCUUUCUGGGCCCUGACUGUGUAUUCUGGAGAUGUGCUGCUCAUCACUGGUGUGAUGGUGAAUGAGGACAAGUGGAGAGGAGAGACGGUUCUGCAGUCGUCGUACAGCAGCAAGCUCCUCAACCUGGGCCAAGUCACCGGCAGCAGCUCACCUCUAGUUCCACAGAAUGUGAAUGGCCGGACACUGAGGUCUCUGUGUGGUUACCUGCGUGAGAAGCGUCCCCUGCUGGUGUCCCUCCCUCCUCGCGUCCCUCAGGAUCCUAACACCAUCGCCCACGCCCGUCUCAGGACCCUGAGACCUGACACACUGGUGCAUGCCCUGCUUCGAAUCACACACACUGAGAUGACCACAGGGUGGCGAGCCGAGGCAGAGGGCACGUCCAGGGUAGGAGGAGUACUGAAGGCUGUACUGACUGUAGUGCAGGGGGAUGGACAGCAGGGGGCAGUGGUGCUCUGGGGAGCUGCCUUGACCUGGCUGCAGCGUAUCAACAGGAACAAAGAUGCAGUGUGGGUUUUCCGUUUGCUCCUGGUAAGAGAGAGUAUGACGACAGGCCUGCUGGAGCUGCACUCCACCCCCUGGGGCUCCUGUGAGCCUCUCUUCCCCGACGACACGCGGGCGCUGGAGUUCUACCGGCCAGGCCCUGCCAAACAUACCAGCACCAGCUUGGAGAUAGACCUGCACACUCUCCUGUCCCAGAAGUACACUGGUGAUGUGGAACUGAGAGUUCACGUCACAGCUUUCCAGUUUCAAGGCAGCCCCUCCCAGAAUGCACUGCAGCGGAUGGACAGCGACACGCAUCUGGAGAGUAUCCUGGACACAGUGUCAGGUGACAUCACGUUCACAGGUUGUGGGCGCUGCGCUGCCGAGCUGGACACAGAUGACAACGGGAUCUACUGUCCCUGCUACCCCUGCCUCCCCCAUACUGGAGUACGACGCUAUUACAGGUCCUACAACCACAACACGGUGCAUCUCACCAACAUCACGAGCAUUUACAUUCCAUUAAGGUAUACAGAGAGACCUUAAUAAUGCUUCCCUCACUGACUCGCAUUAUCUUCGUGGAAGUGUCCAUUUCUCAGACGUACCAAACACACUCAUUCCAAAUGGAAAUGGAAUUGGCCGGUAAUUAACUCAAGCAGCCUGAAUAGCUCUCAUUUUCUAAAAGAGGCCAGUAAUACUGACAGUGAAGAAUGGGGAAAGCCAGGUGUGUGUGCAGGUGCCACCUGUCCUGCUGCAGAAGAUCCUGCUCGACACUCCUCCUGACAAGCU